GUGGGGAAUUUUGGACAAUGGGGGCAACCCUGAUCCAGCCAUGCCGCGUGCGGGAAGAAGGCCUUCGGGUUGUAAACCGCUUUUGUCAGGGAAGAAAUCCUUUGGGUUAAUACCUCGGAGGGAUGACGGUACCUGAAGAAUAAGCACCGGCUAACUACGUGCCAGCAGCCGCGGUAAUACGUAGGGUGCGAGCGUUAAUCGGAAUUACUGGGCGUAAAGCGUGCGCAGGCGGUUUUGUAAGAUCGAUGUGAAAUCCCCGGGCUCAACCUGGGAACUGCAUUGGGGACUGCAAGGCUGGAGUGCGGCAGAGGGGGAUGGAAUUCCGCGUGUAGCAGUGAAAUGCGUAGAUAUGCGGAGGAACACCGAUGGCGAAGGCAAUCCCCUGGGCCUGCACUGACGCUCAUGCACGAAAGCGUGGGGAGCAAACAGGAUUAGAAACCCCUGUAGUCC
rnacentral:rRNA from 1 species